GACGAGGGCGCGAGCGUUGUCCGGAUUUAUUGGGCGUAAAGAGCUCGUAGGCGGCUUGUCGCGUCGACUGUGAAAACCCGCAGCUCAACUGUGGGCUUGCAGCCGAUACGGGCAGGCUAGAGUUCGGUAGGGGAGACUGGAAUUCCUGGUGUAGCGGUGAAAUGCGCAGAUAUCAGGAGGAACACCGAUGGCGAAGGCAGGUCUCUGGGCAUUAACUGACGCUGAGGAGCGAAAGCAUGGGGGAGCGAACAGG
rnacentral:rRNA from 1 species